GAUGAACGCUGACAGAAUGCUUAACACAUGCAAGUCAACCUGUACUUCGGUUUGGGUGGCGGACGGGUGAGUAACGCGUAAAGAACUUGCCUCACAGCUAGGGACAACAUUUGGAAACGAAUGCUAAUACCUGAUAUUAUGAUUAUAUGGCAUCGUAUAAUUAUGAAAGCUAUAUGCGCUGUGAGAGAGCUUUGCGUCCCAUUAGCUAGUUGGAGAGGUAACAGCUCACCAAGGCGAUGAUGGGUAGCCAGCCUGAGAGGGUGAUCGGCCACAAGGGGACUGAGACACGCCCCUUACUCAUUCCGGCGGCAGCCGUGGGGAAGGUUGGACCCUGGACCGAGGGUCUGAUCCAGCAAUUCUGUGUCCACGAUGAAGUUUUUCGGAAUGUAAAGUGCUUUCAGUUGGGAAGAAAAAAAUGACGGUACCAACAGAAGAAGUGACGGCUAAAUACGUG
rnacentral:rRNA from 1 species